AUAAUAAGAAUAAGAAUAAAUACUAAAAAUAAAAUAAAAGAAAGAUAAAAUAAAAUAAAUUAGAAUAAAAAUAAAAUAAGAAAUAAAUAGAUAAAAAGGGUAAAUAGGGAGGAAACCGAUCGAUGAGCGAUAACCGGAGUUAUGAAGGGGGUGGUGGACACGGUGGUCGGUGCAAGGAAGAGAGGGGAAAGUAGCAAGGAAGGGGAAAGGGAAAAAGGACAGAGGAAAAUGGAAAGGGAAGGAUGCGGGGGAACGAAUGGGUGAUGGGUGGUGGCUUGGACGCGUUUUGUUGAUGGAAGAAGAGAGGUGGGGGUUUUUAUGGCUAUGAGGGGCUGUGGAUGGUGGUGAUAGAGGAAGGGAGAAAUAAGGGAAAGGGGAAGCAGCGUUCGAAGGUAGGGAGUGGGGGUACAGCGAAGGAUGUACGAGCGAAC
rnacentral:lncRNA from 1 species